rnacentral:rRNA from 1 species
AUUGAACGCUGGCGGCAGGCCUAACACAUGCAAGUCGAGCGGAUGAAGGGAGCUUGCUCCUGGAUUCAGCGGCGGACGGGUGAGUAAUGCCUAGGAAUCUGCCUGGUAGUGGGGGAUAGCGUCCGGAAACGGGCGCUAAUACCGCAUACGUCCUGAGGGAGAAAGUGGGGGAUCUUCGGACCUCACGCUAUCAGAUGAGCCUAGGUCGGAUUAGCUAGUUGGUUGGGUAAAGGCCUACCAAGGCGACGAUCCGUAACUGGUCUGAUAGGAUGAUCAGUCACACUGGAACUGAGACACGGUCCAGACUCCUACGGGAGGCAGCAGUGGGGAAUAUUGGACAAUGGGCGAAAGCCUGAUCCAGCAAUGCCGCGUGUGUGAAGAAGGUCUUCGGAUUGUAAAGCACUUUAAGUUGGGAGGAAGGGCAGUAAGUUAAUACCUUGCUGUUUUGACGUUACCAACAGAAUAAGCACCGGCUAACUUCGUG